rnacentral:lncRNA from 1 species
GAAGAGCGACUAGGGCACACCUGGCCCUGGGGCCCCGGGCGUGCGGCCAGUCGCAAGUAGGGAAGCUGAGGCUGGUGGCGCAGUCGCAGACUACACUGCGCACAACCCGUUGCUGAUCCCUACCUGCCUGGAGAGCUUGAUGUGCGUGGUGAGAUGCUGGCCACUCGGGUUACCUGCACGAAAAGGAUCCUUAGAGUCUCUGCUGAUUUUCCUUCCUUCUAGGGACGCUUGCCACGGGAUCUCCACCCCGCUGACUCUGUGGUGAGGUCAGGGUCGCACUGGUGGCUCUGAAGAAGAUUAUGGGGUUAGCAAGGAGGCAAUGGGGCUGGAAGAUUUGGUUCAAUAGACUCUUCAGUCCUCCAGGUUCUGUCUCAGACUCUAACCAAGUCACCCACUGAGUAAGUGUGUGUGUGUGUGUGUGUGUGUGUGUGUGUGUGUGUGUGAGUGAGUGUGUGUUGGGGAAUUUUCUGAGUGUCUGACAAAUUAACUCAUGCUUGAGGAAACCUUGUUUUGAAACUUCAGAAAUGGGGCCCACCUGAGCACUUGGAGCAAAUUACCCCUCCCCAUGGUAGUCUCUGACCCUCAGAUCCCCCGGACUCUCUGCUUUCUUCGGCUACUCAAAAAUGACUAAAAAGUUACUUCUAAUUCUUGCUCUCCCGAGAAUUCCCACUCACCAUGGAAGCCAUGUGAGUUCAGGACUGUGGGACUAUAAGGAAUGGAGAACCAGACCCAGACUCUCUCCUUUUUUAUAGGGUCUUGGCUUGGCCACUUGCCUUAUGUCCCACAAAGCCCCAAGUCCUGCUGUGAUGGUUUGUAUAUGCUUGGCCCAAGAAGUGGCACUAUUUGGAGGUGUGGCCUUGUUGGAGUAGGUGUGACCUGGUUGGAGUAGGUGUGUCACUGUGGGCAUGGACUUAAGACCCUCACCCUAGCUGCCUGGAAGUGAGUAGCAGCCUUCAGAUGAAGAUGUAGAACUCUCAGCUCCUCUUGCACCAUGCCUGCCUGGAUGCUGCCAUGCUCCCACCUUGAUGAUAAUGGACUGAACCUCAGAACCUGUAAACCAACCCCAAUUAAAUGUGUCCUUUAUAAGAUUUGCCUUGGUCAUGGUGUCUGUUCACAGCAGUAAAACCCUAACUAAGAAACCUCCCAUUCUCUGAAAAUCAACAAUGUAAAUGAAGUUCUGAAAGCUGAAAUACAUGUUUAUGUUUCUA